UUUGGGAGUUGUAAACCUUGGGGGUUUUUUUCUCCGGGGGGGGGGACUCGGAGGGAUCAUUACCGAGUUUACAACUCCCAAACCCAAUGUGAACGUUACCAAAACUGUUGCCUCGGCGGGAUCUCUGCCCCGGGUGCGUCGCAGCCCCGGACCAAGGCGCCCGCCGGAGGACCAACCAAAACUCUUUUUGUAUACCCCCUCGCGGGUUUUUUUUAUAAUCUGAGCCUUCUCGGCGCCUCUCGUAGGCGUUUCGAAAAUGAAUCAAAACUUUCAACAACGGAUCUCUUGGUUCUGGCAUCGAUGAAGAACGCAGCGAAAUGCGAUAAGUAAUGUGAAUUGCAGAAUUCAGUGAAUCAUCGAAUCUUUGAACGCACAUUGCGCCCGCCAGUAUUCUGGCGGGCAUGCCUGUCCGAGCGUCAUUUCAACCCUCGAACCCCUCCGGGGGGUCGGCGUUGGGGAUCGGCCCUCCCUUAGCGGGCGGCCGUCUCCGAAAUACAGUGGCGGUCUCGCCGCAGCCUCUCCUGCGCAGUAGUUUGCACACUCGCAUCGGGAGCGCGGCGCGUCCACAGCCGUUAAACACCCAACUUCUGAAAUGUGACCUCGGAUCAGGUAGGAAUCCCCAUUU
rnacentral:rRNA from 1 species